CUCCAUUUCCAUUCCUCUGUUUCCUUCUGCCUUCACCAUCUCCAUUCCCCUUCUCUAACUUCUUGGUGCCUGCGAUUCACCAUCGUCACCUGCCAAAAAUCGCCGGCUAAUCACCCUUACCAUCAUUCGCACUUAUUCCCUCUGUCAAACCACAAAAAGGGCUCCAGCUUUUCCUUUUUAUCUCUUCUCUCUCAUGUUUCUUUGACUCUCUCUCUCCUUUUUUGCCAUUACAGGAUCAGACGCCAUUGUUGCCGGCGAAAAGAAAGAAAAAGAAGGGUUGAGUUUGUGCGAAAGAGCGAUUUUUAGAGUCCGGAUCUCUAGAGCGAUUCAACUGAUCGUCCUGCUCAUGUCUUCCUUCGUCGCGGCUUCUUCUUUGCUCAUCGUGAUUUGAGUGAGUUACUUUUCAAACCCAGAAGAAAUUCAACCCCUCAAAAAUUUUCGAUGAUCUGCCGGCCCAUCUCCCUCCUUUUCAGCAGCAGCGGCUUUCGAUUAUUGGCUUUAUAUUUCAAGGGCUUGAUCUUGAUCUCUUGAAGGAGGUUUGAAGCUGAAGAAAUCUGUUUUGUUAUGCUGAUAUUUAGGAUGGGUUUGUAUUUUAUGGAUGGGACCAGACACCAAAGAUUAGUAUGGUGUUUCACUCCCUAGAAUCAGACAUUGCCCUCUCUUGUGCUUGCUCGAGCAUCUCAACUCUCUCAAGACUGGCUAAAGUUUUCUUCAUACAAAGAACAAGCGGUGGGGUUUAGUCUUAGUCUAAUAUCAACAAGCAAUCAUGAAAUGCUAUACAAUUUGACAUGUCACACCUUGACAGAUCCAUCACAAAUGGCGGGCAAAUCAGUAAUGAGACAGCUCGGACAUAGCUUAUUGUCCUCGUUGAAGUACACAUUUAAAGUUGAUAAGAGGAAUACACCUUUGAGGCCUACUCAGGGAUAUGCUUAUAGUUUUACAACGCUAUUAGCUGACCUUAAUCCUGAUAGUCGGAGCAGGUGAGGCUUUUUUCCAUAGAUGCAUGAAUUGUUUUUUGUUUGUGUUUAAGUUGAUUAUAAUUAUAUGAGCAGUUUGUUUGUCUGUUCUCCGAUGAUUUACUUUUAACCUGGCUGGCUCGCUCCACAUUAGGAGCUGCUUCCUAUGUUUUAUUCCUCCCGCCCUAUCAAAUCCUUUUUUUCUCUUUCUGGAAUGUUGGGAAUGUCACUUUUGUGAAUGAAAAUUUAUGUGAAUAGGUCAUGACAGCUUUAUAGAGUAUGACCAGUUUAUGUGAGUCUUGAAUAAUGAAGGUAUGUUAAUAUGUUUAUUAUUACAUAUUGGGUAGUAUAAGAAGAUGAAGUCUACUUUUGGAGGGAGCUCUUUCUACUUUUUAUUCUAGAAUUUGUGGUUAAAAGCCAAUAAAAACUUUGCUACAUUAGCUGCAAAGUGAUGUGGAAU